rnacentral:rRNA from 1 species
GACGAACGCUGGCGGCGUGCCUAAUACAUGCAAGUAGAACGCUGAGGUUUGGUGUUUACACUAGACUGAUGAGUUGCGAACGGGUGAGUAACGCGUAGGUAACCUGCCUCAUAGCGGGGGAUAACUAUUGGAAACGAUAGCUAAUACCGCAUAAGAGUAAUUAACACAUGUUAGUUAUUUAAAAGGAGCAAUUGCUUCACUGUGAGAUGGACCUGCGUUGUAUUAGCUAGUUGGUGAGGUAAAGGCUCACCAAGGCGACGAUACAUAGCCGACCUGAGAGGGUGAUCGGCCACACUGGGACUGAGACACGGCCCAGACUCCUACGGGAGGCAGCAGUAAGGAAUUUUCCACAAUGAGCGAAAGCUUGAUGGAGCGACACAGCGUGCAGGAUGAAGUUCUUCGGAAUGUAAACUGCUGUUAUAAGGGAAGAAAAAAUAGAAUAGGAAAUGAUUUUAUCUUGACGGUACCUUAUUAGAAAGCGACGGCAAACUAUGUGCCAGCAGCUGCGGUAAUACAUAGGUCGCAAGCGUUAUCCGGAAUUAUUGGGCGUAAAGCGUCCGUAGGUUUUUUGCUAAGUCUGGAGUUAAAUGCUGAAGCUCAACUUCAGUCCGCUUUGGAUACUGGCAAAAUAGAAUUAUAAAGAGGUUAGCGGAAUUCCUAGUGAAGCGGUGGAAUGCGUAGAUAUUAGGAAGAACACCAAUAGGCGAAGGCAGCUAACUGGUUAUAUAUUGACACUAAGGGACGAAAGCGUGGGGAGCAAACAGG